GCCGACCUUCUAGUGAUAGAGGUGCUAACUUGCACUCGGGUGUGUGGUGUGCCUUUAACAACUUUGGCUUCGUUUGAUGCAAGUCAUUGGCUUUUAGGCCUCUAAAAUUUUGAAUAACCUUGAUUCAUACUUCAUGGCUGCAAAACUCAUUCAAGUUAUUGUAUAUCAAAAUUAUAAUGUUCAACUAGAACUCAUUCCAAAUGCAUUUUUAUCUGUUUCCAUGUUAU
rnacentral:misc_RNA from 1 species